ACAGUAAUAUUCUUUACUACUCCUACUACUAAUAAUAAUAUAAAAGGCAAUAACUUUAGCCUACCGAGGCUUUCAAACUCACAAUCAGAAAGGGCAAGAGGAGUUAGAGGUAUUUUAGAUGUAAUAAUUUGCAUUCGGCCAAGAUGUCACUGGUAUAUUUGAAAUAAAAGAGAUGAUUGAAAAAAAAGCAGGUUGCUUGCAACUGAACACGCCGCAUACUGCAAAAAUGUUACAUUUAGGCUAAAAACAACAAGCGCUACUUAAGGUAGGAAAAAGCGGGGGUUUUAAACGUGGAAGUGGCCAUGAAGUGGCAAGACUUCACGCACAGCAGGACAAACUUCACUAAGCCCUGGUCUACAGCGCGAGACUAAACUACAACGCGCCGCGCGCACACGCUGCCAUGACGUCGCGCGCUCGCGGGGUCGGUGAAUAUAAUUAUCAAAAGGCCGUAAAACGUGGAGCUGCGUGGGUGGCGGGGUGCAACCGGUGAGAAAGUCGUGAUGCGAGAGCAACGACCGGGACCGGGGGAGAGAAAGCGGGAGAGUCUCAACAUGGAUUCCCAAACGUGCCACAAUAGGCCUCCCGAACACGGCUACUGAAACUUCCUGUAGUUGGCGGGACGGUAGCAACUUCACGAGCGCGCACCGGACAAGUAGAUACAUGUUAGCAAACGAACACUCGCGGCAAGUAUGCAAACAGCGAAUAAAGUGAACUCAAACUACAAGAAAGCAUGCAUCGUGAAAGUUCUUUUACUUGACUGGAUAUUAGAGCACAGCCCUGCGUUAUUGGGCUCCGCCGCUCUUCGCGAGCUUAAAGGUCUGCGUUUUAAAACCCUAGGAACUGCGGAAAAUGUAAAGUGGUCCGUUUGUAAACAAAGUAAGAUGAUAAUUAAACAGUCCGGUGGGAAAGAGGGGCUUCCAUUUUGAAUGUGCCAUGCUACUGCUAGAGGCGCGGAGUGCGAGGAGGAACACUUUGGGGGGGAAAAGGGGCAUUUAACGUUUUGCGGGGAUUUCAGGGCAUCGAUUUAGUUUCCAAGAACGACAGGAGUGCGAGCUGCUGUUUUGAAGGUGUAGCCAUUCAACAGGUUCAGCGCUGACAGGACUGGACGAAACCGAAAUGAAGCGGUCGGUAUAACCUACAGCUCUCGCAAAUCUGCCGGUUUCCCACAAACACAGAAAACGCUGGAGUGACCGGAAAAACACUGUGGUCAAAGCUGGUUUUCGCACAAGAGUAAUAGGAUUACCACACACUGCUCUGCCAAGGACAGAGACUGGAGGGGGAGACAGGAGGAGAGGUUAAAGAGGGGAGGAAGAGAGAGAGAGAGAGAGAGGGAAACGAAGAGUACAAGUUGAAGAACAGAAUACCCUGUCGUUGCGCACCCAACCUGAAGCCCCUCGGAGUAACAGGACUGUGAUAUUUGAGGAGCGACAGAGAGGCAUGUCUCGCUCUAUGUCACUUGCUAUAUUAAGCACACAGUGUGUGUUCAUGGUGUCUCCAGUAUCUUGCUUAGGAUCAAACUCUUCCUAUUGGCACAGUGCUCUGUUUCCACUACUGAAGCUGCCAUACCUUCAUUCCAGCGCAAUGGAUCUGUAUCCGGUACAGCUGUCAUUUUAGAGGCGUGGAGCUAAUCAGAGGUCCGAUUUAGCAGCAUGACGGGCCUAAAGUGGGGUCACCACAGCGCUGCCGCUCACUGCUGCUGAUAGCACACCAGCUGCUGAACUUCAUGUAAUUCAAGCGCCGUCUCAAAUCACUACAUGACAUUUCACCGACAGAUGCACAAAAAAGACUUCUGUUUUACGGAUACUCCAGAUUCCUAUCAAACCUUUGGAACUUAUGUUGUAAUCGGCUAUACAGGAUUUUACGCAUUAAAUGUCCCUGCACAGUCAGGUCAGUUGAGGCGGCAAACAGAAUUUGCGUGUAGGAAGUAGUAUUGAAAUUAACUGUAAUUCAAAGAAACGUACUGCCAUUAACUGCCAUUUUACACUUCAAGUCACAUUCAAGUAAAAAAUGCACGAAUGACUCAAUGCAUGUCAAAUUAUCUGUAAGAAGAGACGAAGCAAUAGUGACCACGUAAUAAAUACUCACAAUUGUCGGAUCCAAUAUAAUCGGCACAG